rnacentral:rRNA from 1 species
GAUGAACGCUGGCGGCGUGCCUAAUACAUGCAAGUCGAGCGAACGGACGAGAAGCUUGCUUCUCUGAUGUUAGCGGCGGACGGGUGAGUAACACGUGGAUAACCUACCUAUAAGACUGGGAUAACUUCGGGAAACCGGAGCUAAUACCGGAUAAUAUUUUGAACCGCAUGGUUCAAAAGUGAAAGACGGUCUUGCUGUCACUAUUGAUGGAUCCGCGCUGCAUUAGCUAGUUGGUUAGGUAACGGCUUACCAAGGCAACGAUGCAUAGCCGACCUGAGAGGGUGAUCGGCCACACUGGAACUGAGACACGGUCCAGACUCCUACGGGAGGCAGCAGUAGGGAAUCUUCCGCAAUGGGCGAAAGCCUGACGGAGCAACGCCGCGUGAGUGAUGAAGGUCUUCGGAUCGUAAAACUCUGUUAUUAGGGAAGAACAUAUGUGUAAGUAACUGUGCACAUCUUGACGGUACCUAAUCAGAAAGCCACGGCUAACUACGUG